AUUGAACGCUGGCGGCAUGCCUUACACAUGCAAGUCGAACGGUAACAGGUCUUCGGAUGCUGACGAGUGGCGAACGGGUGAGUAAUACAUCGGAACGUGCCUAGUAGUGGGGGAUAACUACUCGAAAGAGUGGCUAAUACCGCAUGAGAUCUACGGAUGAAAGCAGGGGAUCGCAAGACCUUGUGCUACUAGAGCGGCCGAUGGCAGAUUAGGUAGUUGGUGGGAUAAAAGCUUACCAAGCCGACGAUCUGUAGCUGGUCUGAGAGGACGAUCAGCCACACUGGGACUGAGACACGGCCCAGACUCCUACGGGAGGCAGCAGUGGGGAAUUUUGGACGAUGGGCGCAAGCCUGAUUCAGCAAUGCCGCGUGCAGGAUGAAGGCCUUCGGGUUGUAAACUGCUUUUGUACGGAACGAAAAGCCCUGGGUUAAUACCCUGGGGUCAUGACGGUACCGUAAGAAUAAGCACCGGCUAACUACGUGCCAGCCGCCGCCGUAA
rnacentral:rRNA from 1 species